rnacentral:rRNA from 1 species
UACGGGGGGGGCAAGCGUUGUUCGGAAUUACUGGGCGUAAAGGGCUCGUAGGCGGCCAACUAAGUCGGAUGUGAAAUCCCCAGGCUCAACCUGGGAACUGCAUCCGAUACUGGAUGGCUUGAAUUCGGGAGAGGGAUGCAGAAUUCCAGGUGUAGCGGUGAAAUGCGUAGAUAUCAGGAGGAACACCGGUGGCGAAGGCGGAUCUCUGGGCCUUACCUGACGCUCAGGCGCGAAAGCUAGGGGAGCGAACCGG